rnacentral:lncRNA from 1 species
CUCUCUCUAUCCUCGCCUUUCUCUCUCUAGAAUUUGGUUGUGUUUGGUUUCAUAUUUUGGGGGUCUCAUAAAAAUACAAAGCAAAUUUUUAUUAGAAAAUACUUACCAUUCUUGCUAACACAGUCAAGUAACCACACUCAUACCCUAUUGCUUGAAAAGUCUUUGAAAGGCAUCUUGAAAAGCAUUUUUUCCAAAGGCUAAUAAAGACGUUCAACCAAGGAAGGCCUCA